CUAUGCAAGAGAAAUGAAAACAUAUAUCUAUGCAAAAGUUGUAUGAGAAUGUUCAUAGCAGCGUUAUUCAUAAUAACCAAGAAAUGGAAACAACCCAAAUGUCCAUCAACUGGUGAAUGGAAACAUAAACAUGGUGUAAGUAUGCUAUGGAAUAUUACCCAGCAAUCAAAAGGAAUGAAGUACUGAUGUAUGUUCCAACCUGGAUGAACCUCAAAAACAUUAUGCUAAGUGGAAAAAGACAGUCUCAAAAGGUUACAUAUUGUGGGAUCCCAUUUAUAUAAAAUGUCCAGAACAGGCAAAUCUAUCAAACUGAAAAGUGACUGAGUGGUUGCCAAGGACUGGAGGCAAGGGAGCAGUGAGGUUUGAGGGUGAAUGAACAGUGACUGCUAAUGGAUGUGAGGCUUCUUUCCGAGAUGAUCAAAUUGUUCUAAAUGGGAUUAUAGCGAUGGCUACAGAACUCCGUAAAUGUAAUCAACACCAUUGAAUCGUACAUUUUAAACUGUAAGGUGUGGAACCGAAGCUCAUCAAAGUUUUCUUUUAAAAAGUCAGUUGUGAGGCUGCUGCUGUGACACAGCGGGUUAAACUGGACCCAGCCCCCUGCUGAUAAUGCUCCUGGGAAAGCAGGGGAGGACGGCCCACGUGCUUGAUCCCUGCACCAACUAGGAGCCCUGGAAGAAGCUCCUGGCUCCUGGCUCCUGGCUUCGGAUGGCCCAGCUGGGGCCAUUGCGGCCAUAUGGGGUGUGAACCAGCAGAUAGAAGACCUGUCUGUCUCUCCUCUCUGUAACUCUACCUUUCAAAUCAAUCAAUCUUAAAAAAAAAAAAAAAAAAGCGUUGUGCCUGCGUGAAAUUUGACUCCCCCAGCGUCUUACUACCACGCUUUGCCCUGGCAAAAAUUCCUGGGGUCCCUCUCUGCAGCUUCCAGCUCAAGGUUGCUGCUUCUGCUUUUCAGUUCCUCCAAGUAAGAAAGAAAACAAGAUCUCUGAAUUCUUCAGCUCCAACAUCCACCUUGGCUUUGCGGCGGAAACCCCCGACUAGGGCUAGGAACGCGGCCCACCCAGUGGCCAGACCCCGCUGGGAAGUCGCAACUGCGGAGCCCAGCCUAACCGCCCCACCCGGUCCCGGUGGCGAGGGAGGGAGGGCCGUGGGGGCUGGGCGGGACCACGUGAGCCCGGCUCCACGUGACUGUCACCCGCCGCUGAGAGAAGCUUGACCUUCCUUUACCCGGAGCGGUGCGGCGGGGUGCCAGCUCGCUCACACCCGGCCCAGGGCAUUGCCUUUCAGAAGUUCAGGUUUAAAGGGCAACCGCUGCCAGGACGCCGAGCAGCUGUGGUCAGCGCUUGGCCUACAGAUGGAGGCUGCAUCGUGAUGCGGAGGAAGAAUGGUGGGGAGGGAGAGCUUGAAUGAAGGAGAUUGAAAGAGUUGGAGAAGCCGUUGGAGAGGGUCGCUGACCAAAUGGCAGAGGAAUCACCAGGAGGUGGAGCCCAGUCUGCAGUGAUGGAAACAGCUCAGAACAGGUGUUUGGCAGACAUGUUGGUCAUGGAUGUAUUUUCUGAACACUGAUUCCCCCCCACCCCCCGCC